GAUUUUGACAACAAGAAAACAAAGAAUAGUCAGAAAGAUCCUCAAACCAAAAGCCCGCCCAUAGUUAAAGGAGGAACUCUUGUUGUCUGUCCAAUGGCAUUGUUAGGCCAGUGGAAGGUAAGAUUUGAUUUCAUUCCAUAAAAUGUUUACUUCUAAUCCUGUAGUUAAAGUUGGCAUUCUUUUAAUGAUGUAAUUGAAUGAAAAUUUAAAAUAGCGCAUUAUUGUCUGUCCAAUGGCAUUGUUAGGCCAGUGGAAGGUGGCAAAAAUUGAUUCAAAAGCCUUAUGAGAGCGGCAAUGAGAGAGGAUUGAGAUUGGUUAAGGUCAUCCUAAGGAACAGUGGGACCUUGUGUUUUCUCUAGGAGUGGAGCACAUCAUGGAAGAUUUUUUAUUUAUUUUUAUUGUAUUCAUACAAUUGUUGUAAAUAUAUAUAAUUUUUAUUAUAAAGUUGCACCAUAUUUGUUCAAUAUUAAUUUUUAAUUAUAUAUAAUAUUCUUUGGUUUUUAAAUAUAAAAACAAAUGUACAGCUUUUA